UGGGGAGCAAACAGGAUUAGAUACCCUGGUAGUCCACGCCGUAAACGAUGUCGACUUGGAGGUUGUGCCCUUGAGGCGUGGCUUCCGGAGCUAACGCGUUAAGUCGACCGCCUGGGGAGUACGGCCGCAAGGUUAAAACUCAAAUGAAUUGACGGGGGCCCGCACAAGCGGUGGAGCAUGUGGUUUAAUUCGAUGCAACGCGAAGAACCUUACCUGGUCUUGACAUCCACGGAAGUUUUCAGAGAUGAGAAUGUGCCUUCGGGAACCGUGAGACAGGUGCUGCAUGGCUGUCGUCAGCUCGUGUUGUGAAAUGUUGGGUUAAGUCCCGCAACGAGCGCAACCCUUAUCCUUUGUUGCCAGCGGUCCGGCCGGGAACUCAAAGGAGACUGCCAGUGAUAAACUGGAGGAAGGUGGGGAUGACGUCAAGUCAUCAUGGCCCUUACGACCAGGGCUACACACGUGCUACAAUGGCGCAUACAAAGAGAAGCGACCUCGCGAGAGCAAGCGGACCUCAUAAAGUGCGUCGUAGUCCGGAUUGGAGUCUGCAACUCGACUCCAUGAAGUCGGAAUCGCUAGUAAUCGUGGAUCAGAAUGCCACGGUGAAUACGUUCCCGGGCCUUGUACACACCGCCCGUCACACCAUGGGAGUGGGUUGCAAAAGAAGUAGGUAGCUUAACCUUCGGGAGGGCGCUUACCACUUUGUGAUUCAUGACUGGGGUGAAGUCGUAACAAGGUAACCGUAGGGGAACCUGCGGUUGGAUCACCUCCUUACCUUAAAGAAGC
rnacentral:rRNA from 2 species